AGAGUUUGAUCAUGGCUCAGAACGAACGCUGGCGGCGUGGAUAAGACAUGCAAGUCGAACGCUGAUCACAGGGUAGCAAUAUUCUGUGGUCGGAGUGGCGCAAGGGUGCGUAACACGUGGGUAAUCUGCCAUAAAGUUUGGGAUAACUCGCUGAAAGGCGAGCUAAUACCGGAUGUGAUCAUUGGAAGGCAUUUUUUGAUGAUUAAAGCUGGGGACCGUAAGGCCUGGCGCUUUUUGAUGAACCCGCGGCCUAUCAGCUAGUUGGUGAGGUAACGGCCCACCAAGGCUAAGACGGGUAGCUGGUCUGAGAGGACGACCAGCCACACUGGAACUGAGACACGGUCCAGACACCUACGGGUGGCAGCAGUCGAGAAUUUUUCACAAUGGGCGCAAGCCUGAUGGAGCGACGCCGCGUGGGGGAUGAAUGGCUUCGGCCCGUAAACCCCUGUCAUUUGCGAACAAACCUUGCUAUUUAAAAGAUGGUAAGCUGAUUGUAGCGAAAGAGGAAGGGACGGCUAACUCUGUGCCAGCAGCCGCGGUA
rnacentral:rRNA from 1 species